AUUAAACACCCAACUCUUGGCUUCAGCUCAGGUUGCAACCUCAGGGUCGUGAAAUCCAGCCCCACGUUGGGCUCUGUGUGGAGCACAGAGCCUGCUUGGGAUUCUCUCUUCAUCUUCCUCUGCCCCUACUCUGUCUCUUUCUCUCUCUAAAUAAAUAAAUUAAUUAAUUAAAACAAAAAGGAAAUCAUAACUUGACUGUCAUGAGAUUGUUUGGAUAAGGGGGUCAAUAAAAAGCACUGAUGUCUAAUGAAAUUCACAGCGUCAUCUGAACAUUCAAGGCACAGGGAAUUCUGACCAAUUAGAAAUCUUGACAGUUUUGCUGUUGUUUUGGGUUAUCACUUUAACAGGACCUGUAGAUGUGAAAAUGAAGGCAAGUAUUUACUGCUUUGUUUGUUUGCUUGUUUUUUUGUUUGUUUUUUUUUUUGUUUUUUUUGUUUUUUUGCCUAAGUGCCAUGAAGAAAUCUAAAAUAAGUUGUUUUCUGAUAUGGUAUUCUACACAGAAAUAUAAAGUGGAUUAAUCUUGCUCAUGUAAGUUAAAUAAUUUUUUUCUAGAUCCAAAUUUAUUCUUUUUUCUACCCAAACGUUAUUUUUUCACAAGACAAAUAUCUUUAUUUUCUUAUGCAGGCAUUUGUUGCAAGACAUUCCGGAUGUGUAGUGAUAGUUUUAGAAAAAUGCCAGCCUGGUCUUUCUGUUUCCUGCUAAAGAAAAAUAUGUAAAAUAUCCCUUGAGAAACAUCUUUGCACUGAGAAAAAUGAUCCUCCGUCACAGACUGACCCUAUCUCCAAAUCCAGGGUCCCGACUUACUUUUCCAAUAUGUGUGAUUAGCAAAAUGAAAGAAAAAAUGAAAAUCACGGUUUUCCAAUACUCGGCAAUGGCAGACCAGGAUGACAAUGUUCAAGAGAAGGAAAACAAAUAAAGCCAGCCCAAUAAUCACUUCAACUUUUCUACUAUUAUGUUAGUAAAUGAGUUGUUUGGCUCUAACCUUCAGUUUAUUUACUUGUAAAAUAGGGAUAAGAUUAGAACCUACCACAUCAGAUUGAUCAGAUUGCUAUAAGGAUUUAAUAAGAUUACUAAAGACCUUAGUUUGGUACCCAGCACAUUAAAAAAAAAAAAACAAAAAACAAAAAAAAACACUUAGGUUUGGUGUCUAGCACAAAAUAAAGGCUUAAUGGAUGUCUUCUAUUAUACCA
rnacentral:lncRNA from 12 species